rnacentral:rRNA from 1 species
AACGGGACGAAAAGACCCCGUGAACCUUUACUAUAGCUUAACAUUGAUAUUGGGUAAUUUAUGUGUAGGAUAGGUGGGAGACUACGAAGCGGCGUCGCUAGGCGUUGUGGAGUCAUCCUUGAAAUACCACCCUUUGCUUAUCUAGAGUCUAACUCAGAGAUGAGGACAGUGCUUGGUGGGUAGUUUGACUGGGGUGGUCGCCUCCAAAA